CCUACGUGGGGCAGCAGUGAGGAAUAUUGGUCAAUGGACGAGAGUCUGAACCAGCCAAGUAGCGUGAAGGAUGACUGCCCUAUGGGUUGUAAACUUCUUUUAUAAAGGAAUAAAACGAGGCACGUGUGCCUUUUUGCAUGUACUUUAUGAAUAAGGAUCGGCUAACUCCGUGACAGCAGCCGCGGUAAUACGGAGGAUCCGAGCGUUAUCCGGAUUUAUUGGGUUUAAAGGGAGCGUAGAUGGGUUGUUAAGUCAGUUGUGAAAGUUUGCGGCUCAACCGUAAAAUUGCAAUUGAUACUGGCAGUCUUGAGUACAGUUGAGGUAGGCGGAAUUCGUUGUGUAGCGGUGAAAUGCUUAGAUAUCACGAAGAACCCCGAUUGCGAAGGCAGCUUACUAAACUGUGACUGACAUUGAUGCCCGAAAGUGUGGGUAUCAAACAGGAGUAGAUACCCGAGUAGUC
rnacentral:rRNA from 1 species